rnacentral:rRNA from 1 species
UGGGGAAUUUUGCACAAUGGAGGAAACUCUGAUGCAGCGACGCCGCGUGAACGAAGAAGGUCUUCGGAUUGUAAAGUUCUGUCCUGGGUGAAGAUAAUGACGAUAACUCAGGAGGAAGCCCCGGCUAACUACGUGCCAGCAGCCGCGGUAAUACGUAGGGGGCGAGCGUUGUUCGGAAUUAUUGGGCGUAAAGGGUACGUAGGCGGUUUGUUAAGUUUGGCGUUAAAUCACGGGGCUCAACCCCGUUCAGCGUUGAAAACUGGCAAACUUGAGUAGUAGAGGGGACAGUGGAAUUCCUAGUGUAGCGGUGAAAUGCGUAGAGAUUAGGAAGAAUACCGGUGGCGAAGGCGACUGUCUGGAUACAUACUGACGCUCAGGUACGAAAGCGUGGGGAGCAAACAGG